rnacentral:rRNA from 1 species
UACGGGGGGGGCAAGCGUUGUUCGGAAUUACUGGGCGUAAAGGGCUCGUAGGUGGCCAACUAAGUCAGACGUGAAAUCCCUCGGCUUAACCGGGGAACUGCGUCUGAUACUGGCGGGCUUGAAUCCGGGAGAGGGAUGUGGAAUUCCAGGUGUAGCGGUGAAAUGCGUAGAUAUCUGGAGGAACACCGGUGGCGAAGGCGGCAUCCUGGACCGGUAUUGACGCUGAGGCGCGAAAGCUAGGGGAGCAAACGGG